ACCGCCCGUCACACCAUGGGAGUUGGUUUCACCCGAAGGCAGUGCGCUAACCCGCAAGGGAGGCAGCUGACCACGGUGGGAUCAGCGACCGGGGUG
rnacentral:rRNA from 1 species